GUGUGACCAGACCCCACCCCACCCCCCACACAAAGGAGAAAAGAUUGAACACUAACAUCAAACAUCAAACAUACAAAAGACCAUGGUAAUGGUAAACCCUCUAAAUUAUUGGGGAAGACAAAAGAAUGAGAAAGAAAGCUACCCUUUCUCUCGCUACUCCUACUCCAAACAAAACCGUCCCAUUACAAAUUGUGGAAUGAGGAGAGAAUGGCAAGACAAGUGAGUUGUAUGAGUAGUAGUAGUAAUUGACCAUCAAACAAACAAACAUAACCCCAUGUAAUUGUUAUUGUUAUUGUAGAUAGAUAGAGUGAGCGAGUGAGCACUGCCACUGUGUUGUGUAUAUAGGAUGUAAAACUCCCCCCAACAGACAGACACGCCACUCAAUUAUUUCUGUCCAUUUCUUCUUCCCAUAUUGUUCUCGUGUGUUGUGUGUGUGAGUGAGUGAGAGAAAGAGAAAAAAAAAAGAAAAAAAGAGUGUCUUGGGCGGUUUGGUUUGGGUUUAACACUUUCAUUUCGAAGAUGCCACGCCCAGGGCCAAGGCCUUACGAGUGCGUGAGAAGGGCUUGGCACAGCGAGCGCCACCAACCCGUGAGAGGUUCCAUCAUUCAGCAGAUUUUCAGGGUCGUCAAUGACGCUCACAGUCCCGCGACCAAGAAGAACAAGGAAUGGCAAGAGAAGCUCCCCGUGGUGGUUCUCAAGGCCGAAGAAAUCAUGUACUCCAAAGCCAAUUCCGAGGCAGAGUACUUGAAUCCUGAUACGCUCUGGGACCGCCUCAAUGAUGCCGUUAACACAAUCAUACGGAGAGAUGAGACCACCGAGACAGGAGACCUCUUGCCCCCAUGUGUUGAAGCUGCACUUAACCUGGGAUGCAAACCUGUGAGAACUUCCAGAAGUGAUCGGCACAAUAACCCAAGGACUUACCUUUCUUCAAGGAUUCAACAACCUCCCUCUGUGUCUCAUAAACCUGAUGCUGGGAAUCCCUUGAACUAUGCCAAAGUCACAACUCCUGCUGUCUCACCAAUUCCUGUGCCAGAUUCUACCCACCAAAAUAGCAAGCUCAUGGGUUCCUCUAACUACCCUUUCUCAGAAGGCCUCCCUUGUCAUCGCCAGCCAUUGACAAAGGAAGCUAGACCCUCAUUGAACUUGGGUUCAGUUUACCCAUUGUACUAUGGUUAUGAAGCCAGAGAACCUCAACCUAGGACGACUGCUAGAGAUACCACGUGUUCUGAUACAAUCUUUGUUGGCAGACCAGUCAUUCCAGUCCCUGAGCCUUCAGGAAUUGGUCUAUUGGAAAACUUCUCCUAUGGUAGAUUCCAUCACGUUGCAAACAGAAUAGGAAAAGAGAUUGCUGUUGGCACUCAGGAGGCAGCACCAGAUAGGGAAUGUGACUUGUCUUUGAGGUUGGGUCAAUGUCUGCAUCCGUGUUCAAGCAGCAAAAGUAGUUCAGCGUAUGAAGUAGAUGAUGUUGGUUUAGGAGUUUCACCGGGAAGCAGCAGGUUUAGCCAUUUAUCCUUGCAGAAAUAUAGGGAGUUCUGUUUUUAUCCUAGAGAGACAGGUUAUGGCACCAUUGAGUCCACUUCUGGUAAAUGUAAUGUAGAGGGUGAAGAUCAGAACUUAGAGGCAACUCUUCGGAAGCGCAAAGCACCUUUAGGUAACAACGAAGAAGAUGGGCAAUUUUGCCGGAAUCUAGGGGUCCCAUCCAAUCGUUUUACUGGUAGGCCAGGUUCGUAGACAGCUUAUUGUUGUAUCAUGUAUGCAUUUGCCUUUCUAGAUGAAUGAUCCAAAAUGUUGUUUAAUCCUCUUGUGUAGACUCUAUGUGUAGCUCUGCUUGUGAAAAAAUUUAGAAGCUGGCGUUGAGUUGCUAAUUACAUUUCUGCCAAUGUGAACUGUAUAUAAAAUCUUAGCUUGCUUUGCU